rnacentral:rRNA from 1 species
ACAAGCGGAGGAGCAUGUGGUUUAAUUCGAUGAUACGCGAGGAACCUUACCUGGGCUCGAACGUAAGAUGACUGUAGGUGAAAGCUUACAUCUCUUCGGAGCAUUUUACGAGGUGCUGCAUGGUUGUCGUCAGCUCGUGCCGUGAGGUGUCGGGUUAAGUCCCAUAACGAGCGCAACCCUACCUUUAGUUGCCAUCAGGUAAUGCUGGGGACUCUAAAGGAACUGCCUACGCAAGUAGUGAGGAAGCGGGGAUGACGUCAAAUCAGCACGGCCCUUACGUCCAGGGCUACACACGUGCUACAAUGGCCGAUACAGAGGGCAGCUACCUGGUGACAGGAUGCAAAUCUCCAAAGUCGGUCUCAGUUCGGAUCGGAGUCUGCAACCCGACUCCGUGAAGUUGGAUUCGCUAGUAAUCGCGCAUCAGCCAUGGCGCGGUGAAUACGUUCCCGGGCCUU